CCCGCCCCCAGGCUCCGGCCCCGGGGUGGUCCCCGCCCAGUUCUAGCGCCUGUUAUUGUUGGGACUGGAGCCCAGAGUGAUCCCGCUGCGGCGACGGCUUGCUCUGACAAAGAUUGGAGAAAAAGACUGGAAAAGAAUGAAAUUAAUCUUUAGAGGACAGGGGAAAUAUGAAAAGAAGAGCCACACGCAGUAAUUUCUGCUGUCAAAUGAAUCCCAGCUCAGCCAAUUGCUAGAGAAAUGAGAAUGGAGGAAAAGCCCCAGGGGGCUGGUGCCUUUGCUUCUGUCCAUGCAGAGACAUCUGGAUUUUAGUGGUAUGAUAUGGGUAACAGAAAAAAGGAAUGAAGAGAAUUUACUUUUGUGAUUUUCUGUGAGAUGACAGAGAAAGAAGACUGUGGAAGUUCUGGGGAAAUAUUUCAAACUUCAAAGACCAGAACCCUAAAAUCUGCUUACUGUCUCACAGAAGCAUUCACUUUAUCCUCUUGACUGAACAAAUGUUUACAGCCAAGUUUGUUGCUGAAUGUCUGAAUUCUGCUGAAGACUUUCUUCCUUUCUG
ensembl:lncRNA